rnacentral:rRNA from 1 species
GACGAACGCUGGCGGCGUGCCUAAUACAUGCAAGUUGAGCGAUGAAGAUUGGUGCUUGCCCCAAUUUGAAGAGCAGCGAACGGGUGAGUAACGCGUGGGGAAUCUGCCUUUGAGCGGGGGACAACAUUUGGAAACGAAUGCUAAUACCGCAUAACAACUUUAAACAUAAGUUUUAAGUUUGAAAGAUGCAAUUGCAUCACUCAAAGAUGAUCCCGCGUUGUAUUAGCUAGUUGGUGAGGUAAAGGCUCACCAAGGCGAUGAUACAUAGCCGACCUGAGAGGGUGAUCGGCCACAUUGGGACUGAGACACGGCCCAAACUCCUACGGGAGGCAGCAGUAGGGAAUCUUCGGCAAUGGACGAAAGUCUGACCGAGCAACGCCGCGUGAGUGAAGAAGGUUUUCGGAUCGUAAAACUCUGUUGGUAGAGAAGAACGUUGGUGAGAGUGGAAAGCUCAUCAAGUGACGGUAACUACCCAGAAAGGGACGGCUAACUACGU